rnacentral:rRNA from 1 species
GAAAAGAAACCAACAGGGAUUGCCCUAGUAACGGCGAGUGAAGCGGCAACAGCUCAAAUUUGAAAUCUGGCUUCGGCCCGAGUUGUAAUUUGCAGAGGAUGUUUAUGGUGCGGUGCCUUCCGAGUUCCCUGGAACGGGACGCCACAGAGGGUGAGAGCCCCGUCUGGUUGGACACCAAGCCUGUGUUAAACUCCCUCAACGAGUCGAGUAGUUUGGGAAUGCUGCUCUAAAUGGGAGGUAAAUCUCUUCUAAAGCUAAAUACUGGCCAGAGACCGAUAGCGCACAAGUAGAGUGAUCGAAAGAUGAAAAGCACCUUGAAAAGGGAGUUAAACAGUACGUGAAAUUGUUGAAAGGGAAGCGUUUAUGACCAGACUUGUGCCGUGUGGCUCAUCCGGGGCUCUCCCCGGUGCACUCCACACGGUUCAGGCCAACAUCGGUUUCCGCCGGGGGAUAAGAACAGCAGGAACGUGGCUCUCUCCGGGGAGUGUUAUAGCCUGUUGUACGAUACCCUGGCGGGGACCGAGGACCGCGCUUCGGCUAGGAUGUUGGCGUAAUGGUCAUUAGCGAC